rnacentral:rRNA from 1 species
CAGCAGCCGCGGUAAAACGAAGGGGGCUAGCGUUGCUCGGAAUCACUGGGCGUAAGGGGCGCGUAGGCGGGUUUCUAAGUCAGGGGUGAAAUCCUGGAGCUCAACUCCAGAACUGCCUUUGAUACUGAAGAUCUUGAGUAUGGGAGAGGUGAGUGGAACUGCGAGUGUAGAGGUGAAAUUCGUAGAUAUUCGCAAGAACACCAGUGGCGAAGGCGGCUCACUGGCCCAUAACUGACGCUGAGGCACGAAAGCGUGGGGAGCAAACAGGAUUAGAUACCCCCGUAGUCCCUGUCUCUUAUAC